rnacentral:rRNA from 1 species
UACGUAGGGAGCGAGCGUUGUCCGGAUUCAUUGGGCGUAAAGAGCUCGUAGGCGGCUUGAUAAGUCGGAUGUGAAACCUCCAGGCUCAACCUGGAGUCGCCAUCCGAUACUGUCAUGGCUAGAGUCCGGUAGGGGCCCACGGAACUCCUGGUGUAGCGGUGAAAUGCGCAGAUAUCAGGAGGAACACCGGUGGCGAAGGCGGGUCUCUGGGGCCGUAACUGACGCUGGAGGAGC